rnacentral:sRNA from 1 species
GAAUUUCGCGAGGGCCCAUCCUCCUCCCAACGGACCCGAGCGGAUCAGCGCCGGCGGUUCCUCCCACCGCAGGCGACCACACGACACCCGCCGGUCCUCCCCCGGCGGGUGUUGUCG